CCUACGGGAGGCAGCAGUGGGGGAUAUUGCACAAUGGGGGAAACCCUGAUGCAGCGACGCCGCGUGGGUGAAGAAGCGCCUCGGCGCGUAAAGCCCUGUCAGCAGGGAAGAAAAUGACGGUACCUGAAGAAGAAGCCCCGGCUAACUACGUGCCAGCAGCCGCGGUAAUACGAAGGGGGCAAGCGUUAUCCGGAUUUACUGGGUGUAAAGGGGGCGCAGACGGCGAUGCAAGCAAGGUGUGAAAGCCCGGGGCCCAACCCCGGGACUGCUCUUGGAACUGCGUGGCUAGAGUGCAGGAGGGGCAG
rnacentral:rRNA from 1 species